rnacentral:pre_miRNA from 1 species
AGUUGAAUUGCUGAGUCAUAUGGUAAUUCUAUAUUUAACUUUUUGAGGAACUGCCAAACUGUUUUCCAUGGUGACUGUACCAUUUUACAAUCCCAUCAGCUAU